ACUUAAAUCAUGGUGUGCUGGUUGUGGGUUAUAACAAUUCCAGCAAGGGCAAUGGCUAUUGGAUUGUAAAGAACAGCUGGUCCAAUCUUUGGGGUGAGAAAGGUUACAUGCGCUUAGCCAAAGGAUCAAAUGAAUGCAACAUCGCCGAUUACGCCAUCUUUCCUCUCCCAGAUCCAAAGAAGGGAAUGUAAUUUCUUCUUUCAGCAUAAGGAUCAUUUGAAAUGCAGAGCUAAUAGUUACCAAUGAAUGACCUGCUGCUUCUGAAGCUUCUGGAAGAAAAAAAAAAUGCUAAUAAAUGCUUUGGGGCAAUGCUA